ensembl:lncRNA
GGUUGGCCUUGAACUAUCCUUGCCUCUACUCUGCCUCCAGGGAGCAGGGAUUUCAGGAUAAAAUGUCCCCUGCACAUGGAUGUCCUGACACUGCUUGGAAAGGUGCCAACAGAUGAGCUUCUCCCCAGGUCAUCUAGGUCCCCCACUCCCAGCAUGUACUUCAGUUUCAACCAUCCUCUUUCCUCUGCAGAAAGAACAUGGCGUCUCAGGUGGGGUUAACUGAUCAAGACAGCCAGACUUUGCUGAAAGUUUAGUUGAAGGGCAGGUCCUUCCAGGGGAACAUGAAGCACUUUAUAAAUUGCCUUCAAAAACAGCCCUGAAUCCUUCAGUCAGUUUUAAGGGAACUGUUUACCACUGCAUAUGGUAGGCAUUAUUUGGAGUAAUAAACCCUCUGAGAAUCUGAACAUUCAUGGGCCAACAGAUGGG